rnacentral:siRNA from 1 species
AUGACAUUUUCAAAGUUCAUGC